rnacentral:rRNA from 1 species
AAGUAAAAGUUAAUAAUUUUAUAAAUAAUAAAAUUAAUUUUAAUAUUAAAAUUGGGGGGUUAUAGUAUUAAGUUAAGAAAAAAAUUAUAAAAUUUAUAGUAAAGUAGUAUUGUAUAAGAAUUUUGAAAUAAUUUUUAAAUAUUAAAUAAAUUAAAAGUAAAUUUAAUUUAUUGUAUCUUGUGUAUCAGAGUUUAUUAAAUAUAUAUUUAGUUAAAUUAUUUCUCGAAUUUUAAAGAGAUAAUUAAUUAUAAAAGUUAUUAUGGCAUAAAUAUUUUAAAUAGUUAAUUUGAAAUGAAAUGUUAAUCGUUUUAAAAAAUAUCUAGUUUUUUUAGAAAAAAAUUUAAUUUUAUUUUUUUUUUAUAUUAAAUUAAUUAAUUAAUUUAAUAUAAAAAAAAAAUUAUAUUUUAGGGGAUAAGCUUUAAAUUAAAUUUUUAUAAUUAAAAAAGUUUAAUUUUAAAAUUUUUAAAAUUUAUAUUGUUUAUAAUUUUUAGUUUAUUUUAAAUUAAUUUUAAAAUAAAUAAAAAUUUUUUAUUUAUUUAAUUUUUUAUAAAAAAAUAAUUUUUAAUAAAUUAAAAAUAGUUAUAAUGAUAAAAUUAGUAUUUAAAUAAAAAAACAUUUAAUUAUUUUUUAUUAAAAAUAAUUUUAAGGAAUUCGGCAAAAAUUUAUAUUCACUUGUUUAUCAAAAACAUGUCUUUUUGAUUAAUAAUUUAAAGUCUAAUCUGCCCACUGAUAUAAAUUAAAGGGCUGCAGUAUAUUGACUGUACAAAGGUAGCAUAAUCAUUAGUCUCUUAAUUGGUGACUUGUAUGAAAGAUUGAAUGAAAUAUGAACUGUCUUAAUUUUAAUAAAAUAAUUUAAUUUUUUGAUUAAAAAGUUAAAAUAAAUUUAAAAGACGAGAAGACCCUAUAGAGUUUAAUAAUUUUAUUUAUUAUGAUUAUAUUUAUAAUUAGAAAUUAAAAUAUUUAAUAAUUAUUUUGUUGGGGUGAUAAAAAAAUAUAAAUAACUUUUUUUAUAGUGUUCAUAUAUAAAUGAAUAGAUGAUCCAAAAUUAUUUUGAUUAAAAGAAAAAAUUACCUUAGGGAUAACAGCGUAAUUUUUUUUUUUAGUUCAAAUAAAAAAAAAAGUUUGCGACCUCGAUGUUGGAUUAAGAUAAAAUAUAUAUGCAAAAGUUUAAAAUUUUGAUCUGUUCGAUCAUUAAAAUCUUACAUGAUCUGAGUUCAAACCGGUGUGAGCCAGGUUGGUUUCUAUCUUUUUAAAAGAAAAAUAUUUUAGUACGAAAGGAAUAAAUAUUUAAAUUAAAUUUAAAUAUUUUGAAUAUUAUUAAAUCUUAUUUAAAUAAAUAAAAUUUAAA